CUCGUCAGCGGUGUGAGUGAGCGUCGGGCUGACGGCCAUUAGGAGCAUGGCGCAGCGAUGGAUGAUGGUGUUGCAGGUGGCGGUGUAGAGGUCUUGCCCGUCCUGUAAGGGGACGCUGUUCCUGCGCUCCUGGCCAGGCUGAACGUGCUCGUCCGGGACACCGACACCUGCAACGUCGCCGUCGGUAACAGUGUAAACCAAGAGAUUACUCCAUUCCUAAUUAUUUUUAAAACUUUUUUUUUUUUUUUUACCUCUUCAAACAGACAGAGCGCUGCUUCAUACAGAGAGCACAGACCGUCCGGGGUCCGCGUCGGCUCCCUCCACUGACUCCUGUCUGCAGACGAACCCUGGACCAACGAUCGUCUCAUCUGCAUGAGGAUGUUCAUGAAGCAGUCGUAUCCCAUCAGGCCUUCCUGGUUCUGGUUCUGCUCCAGGUUGCUGACUCCAGCCGAGGCGGCCAGCGCCAUCUCCACCCACUCCAGCAGAUAACGCAGUGAUCCUCUCUGCGCCGCUAAACCCAGGAGGAGCUCGCAGGCCAGUCUCCGCCCCACCACGUCCGCGCCGGACUGGCAGGCGAUCACGCCCUUCAGGAAGGCGGUGACCUGCACCAGGCAGUCUAAGCCCAUGGGCGGGAUCUUGCUCUCGUUGGCUAGCGAUAACGGCGGCAGCGAGCCCACCACCUCGAUCGCCGUGGUGAUGACGUCGUUGCAGAGGCUGAGGCCGGGCGUGGCGGUGGGCAGGGCCCAGCUCUGACGCAGCAGCGCGAAGAGUAAGCUCAGACCCGUGCGCACGCCCAUCUCGAUUAGCGCGUCCGUACUCGAGCGCGGCCGCUCGCUCGCCGCCUGCAGCUCAGACGAGUUCAGCGCGCUCUCGCCCGAGUGCUGCUGCUGCUUGGCCUUGCCCUUGUCGUGGUACUUGCUCGAGAGAGCGUAAAAGAUGCGCUGCAGCACCAGAAGGCGUUUGCGCAGAGCGCUCGCGAAAGGAGAGUCCGAGCACACGGUUUUGGCCAAAGCCAGCUGACUGGCCAGCAGCGCGUCCAGGUAGUGCUCCUGUUCAUCACGCGACAGGCACUCGCGCUCGAAGUCGGGCAGCUGGGGGCCUUUGAGGCACAGAACCUGCUGAGGAAGCAGCACCACCUCUUUAUUAAUCAGGAGCUUGGAGUAGAGAAGAGCCACGCCCUCUCGCGUGGAGAUGGACUCGCUGUCCUCCGAGAUCCAAGAGCUGUUCAGAUGCUCCAACCAUUUCAGCUUCACCGGCGGAAUCAUCGCAGCCAUGACGCUGCCUCAUUCGUUCAUUCACACGCCGUCUCACCUGAGGGCGAAAAAAAACAAAACAUACACAAUCCACUUUAUUCCUUUAUACGAUUCAUUUUUAUCCGUUUGUAGUUACAUUUAAACGUUGUGGCACUUCUGGGAAACAUUUACACGCUCAUUCCCCCACCAGCCUCUUUCUACGUUGUUUUAUUCCUUUUCCACCCCAUCCCCAUCAGCCUUUUUCUUUUUUUUAAUUAUUAAUGAUUGAAAAACGCAUCGGUGACGCUCUAACGGAUCGGACGUGGGACUACGAGUCGGAUUUCUGCGCCGAUAUUGGCCCGGAUUCCAGGAUUUGACCCUCCGGGUUUAUUCCGUGCUGUGGAUGUGGGGGACGUUAUCGGACACGACGCAGGCGUGAGAACAGAAAAUAACCCGUCCUAAAUCACAUCACCAUCAACAUAACGAGAACACAAACGAGAACAUGAAGAUGG
ensembl:lncRNA